UUUUAUAAUAAAAAACUUUUUUUGUACGCCUGAUCUCGUCCGAUCUCGGAAGCUAAGCAGGGUCGGGCCUGGUUAGUACUUGGAUGGGAGACCGCCUGGGAAUACCAGGUGCUGUAAGCU
rnacentral:rRNA from 1 species